rnacentral:rRNA from 1 species
GGGUAACCUGCCCAAGAGAUCGGGAUAACACCUGGAAACAGAUGCUAAUACCGGAUAACAAUAGAUGAUGCCUAUCAACUGUUUAAAAGAUGGUUCUGCUAUCACUCUUGGAUGGACCUGCGGUGCAUUAGCUAGUUGGUAGGGUAACGGCCUACCAAGGCGAUGAUGCAUAGCCGAGUUGAGAGACUGAUCGGCCACAUUGGGACUGAGACACGGCCCAAACUCCUACGGGAGGCAGCAGCC